UAAGUACUUCUGUCCAAAGCGUUUAAGAGCGCCUCAUAACUGCGUGUAAAAGUGCUUCAUAAUUCUGACUCAGAAACGUGUUGCGGUGAGAUUCGACUGGUGUGCUGCUUCUCCGUAGUGAGCUCUCUCGAAAGGCAAGAGCAAGAAAACUGGGCACAUAUUCCCCAUCCAGGCAGAGUGCCAAACUCUUCCAAGCACCCUACCUGCCUUCUAUCUUAAGUUUCCUGAAUAAGUGAGAAAACACGAUCCAGUUGCAGCUGUAGCCUACAUGUCAUCUCUCUGGUCGAGUCCGAGCUUUAAUCAAACAAACAGACCAAAAAAAUCCCGUCGGAGCUGAAAACUUAAAGGCAGCAGAUGACGCAAAACGCAACAGUAUUCAUUCACUCUUGGGGCCUCGGACUAACGGCUGCUUCGCAAGUCCCCUCAAGACAUACUACAUGUUCCAGUGCGUCUUUAGAGAGAGAAAAGAGGGAAAAUGAAAAGCCAAGGGACAAGAUUUAGGCUUUCUGGGAGUGCAUUUCAUUUUGGCAUUAUGCGUGUUUUUUUUUUUCUUUCCAAGCCUCCCCGGGCAGACGGACCAGCGAGACGUGUGACAAUCAGGGUGUGAUGUGACACUUCUCCCAGCCUUUCAUUCUCCUGCGUUUUUCCCACUAAUAUUUAAGCUUACCUAAGAAGGCUUUAAAAUGAAGUUUAGUUCUUUGAAGACCAAAGCAUUCCAAUUUUUUCCAACAGACCAGUUCACAGCUAGCUGUGCACUGCCAGUGGGGUAGCCCGAAUUCCAAAAUCUAUCAUCUGGAAACACACAAAAGCACCCUCCGUCAGAUAUUUCCUUUCAAAGCCAGUUUAAAAAAAAGAGAGAAAAAAGGAGACAGGGUGGAGGGAGAAAAAGAGAGAGAGAGAAAAACUCAUAGGAGAAAUGUGUAAUUCCCUGUCCCCUCUCUUUCACACACUGGGGACUGAGGAUCAAAAUAACCCAGCAUUUCUUGAAGAAGAAGAAGAAAGAAGAGGAAAAAAGCACCAAGUCUUCAAUAAGAGCUGCAUUUGCCCAUACUUCAGUGGCCAGAUAGUGAGAAGAAAAAAGCCUGAGAUUGAAGAGAAAGUGAUCAUGGGACAAGGAGAGCUGUGGUGAAAAAAGGGCGGCGAGUGGACAAGUUUCAAUUAAUUUUCUUCAAAAGAGAGCCAGAUUAAAUGUUUCCGGCCUGGUGAAGUGCUCAUUUCAACUGAAGGGGGAAGGGGAAUAUAAGCGCGCACGAGAGAGAGAGAGAGAGAGAGAGAGAGAGACAGAGAGAGAGAUAAAGGGAAAAGCAGAGAGUCGGACCUUUUCAGAAGCUGGUGCAUACCCAAUGGUGUGGUGGCUAAAGAAUGCACGCAGCUCCGAAUUUGCAGGAGGAUUGUCAUCAGACAAAGGGGACGGAGUUACGCCUGUUAUAGUCCAAUAAGCCUUGUCAGUCAAACAAGUCAAGAGAAAGGAAAGAGAAAGGGAGAGCAAAAGAUUUUCACACAAAGGGAAACAAGUAAGUCCGUCUUUUAGCAACAAAUCAGUGUGGAGGUUCCUCUGCUAAGCUAGGUGGAGAAAAGAAGAGGAAGAUAAACAGUAGAGGGAUUUGAGGCCUGACGGCAGAGGACAGGAGGAGGAGGAGGAGGAGGAGGAGGAGAGCCAUAAUCAGGUUGGAGUACUCCAAGCCCCUGAAGAGCAGUUAGCAAGUUUCUAAUCACACAUAGAAACACAAGAAACAUAGAAAAGAGGAGAGAGAGACAGAUUUAGAAGCAUUUUAUUUCCAUAGUAUAAAUGGUGAAUGAACGAUGCACAUACCACUUAUACAAAAAAAUAGCAUCAAGAUACCUCAAGACAUUUUCACGAAACACAUAUUUAGAUUUUAGAAAAUCAACAAGUUUGAGCACAUUUAUUUUUUAUCCAAUCUGUCACAUACUGCACUAAAUUUAAUUAAACAGAACAGCUUAUGCUCUUUUUGUAUUGAAACAUGCAGCUGGCCAGCGUUCUUUAAGUACUAAGAAAAAAACACUACAUAUUUAGGGAAGCGUCUUGUGACACAAUGUGGCAUAAAUCAUGAUACAAUAUAUUACAUCAUAUCAUCGAUGCCUAUAUUGUCGUUUUAUUUAUUUAUUUACAUUUAUGCAUUUGGCAGAUGCCCUUAUACAGAGCUACUUACAGUUUAACCAUGUUACAGAGGUAGGUCAACUGUAGUGUUAGGAGACUUGCCCAAGAUUAACUUAGCAUGAUGUGCUUGCCCAGGCAGAGAAUCAAAGCCCAGUCAGCCACAUGGAGUGAUAACCAUUAGGUCAUACUGCUUUCUUUGACUAUUUUGUUUUUUAAAGCAUCUAAUUCACUUGUAUGUAUUGUUCUGUUGUUUACCCAAGAAUUCAUUAAGAGAACAUGACUUAUUAUUUUUCUUUCUUGUAUACAAAACAACAAGUUUAAUAUGGCCAAGUAGGAUAUUGUCAAGUGCCCCAAAAUGUUCAGAAACAGCCCUGUUAACCAUGUUAGAACAACAUGCUAGGCUAAGAAGUACAGUCAGUGACGCUCAUUUACAAGAACUGCAGCCAUUUCCAAACAGUUUGAAAAUGAAUUAAACAUAUCUUCUGAGACAAUAUGUUGAACACAUCUAAAACUUGCAUUGCUGUAAAUGUUAAACUGCUCUAGUCUGAAUUGUUUAUUUUUAGCAGUGGAUAAUAAUGAGGUACUGAGGGCAGUCAGUAAGUACACCUGUGUAGAGAUAUAGAGGGUAGGAGGAAGAGAGAAAGAGAGACACUCCUUUAAUGUCUUUCUGUCUUUCUCUCUCUCGUCACUUUCAAAGCAGCAGGCCCAUGUCAGGUCAGUGCUACAUGACGUCCUGCACCACUCGCAAUCUCCCGCACCCUGCUGAGGCUAUGAGCUGGGCUCUGGGCAGGCAUGUGCAGAGGAUACGUCUACACAUCCGCACAGAACAAAAUGCUUCUCUCUCCCUCUCUCAGAUUCAGACUGACUGCUCUCUCUCUCUCUCUCUCUCUCUCUCUCUCUCUCUCUCACACACACACACUCACACACACACACACUGUGAACUUAUUACUAUUGUUGAUUGGUAAGCAAUGCUUAAUAUAAGUCAGUAAAGGACUGUUUAAUUAAAACUAUUGGAGUUUGUUUAACGGAACCACCAUCUAUUUUUCACUUUCAAAAUGUAUACAUUAUUAAACUGUUAAUAUGUAAAAUACGUUGUUUAGAGUCGUCUGAUGAGAAAUGGUGCUUUGUAGAGAAACUCACCAAGUCAGAAUUGUUCACAGUGGCGAUGACGGAAGCUGGAAGUCAAAAGUGUUUAAUGCCUCUUAAAGCUACAUCAGACAAAGUAAUUACAUCAAAGGUUAUAAAUAUGCUGCUUGAUACCCAAGAUGACAUACGG